rnacentral:misc_RNA from 1 species
GUUAAUCCUUCUCUUGUUUCCAUGCACAAAUCCACAAGCAUUCAAAAUCACUAAACCUAACAACAAAUUUUUGCCAAAUCUAGAUCCUCAUUCCAGCAUCUGUAACAGCAACAGGCCUUUUCACAUUUGCUGAGCUCAAACAGUAUAUGGAAGUUUCUCUUAAUUUUCACUCAUUCAAAACUAAGAGCUCAGAAAAAAAAAAUCA